rnacentral:rRNA from 1 species
GAGUGGCGGACGGGUGAGCAACACGUGGGUGACCUACCUUCCAGUGAGGAAUACCGGCGAGAAAUCGCCGACAAUACCGCAUAGGCUUCCCUCUCGUGAGAGGGGGAAGCAAAGCUUCUUUCGGGAGGCGCUGGGAGAUGGGCCCGCGGCCGAUUAGCUGGUUGGUGGGGUAAGAGCCUACCAAGGCCACGAUCGGUAGCUGGUCUGAGAGGACGAUCAGCCACACUGGGAUUGAGAACGGCCCAGACUCCUACGGGGGGCAGCAGUGAGGAAUUUUCGGCAAUGGGGGCAACCCUGACCGAGCAACGCCGCGUGCAGGACGAAGGUUUUCGGAUCGUAAACUGCUUUUCUCGAGGACGAGCAAGGACGGUACUCGAGGAAGAAGCCCCGGCUAACUACGUGCCAGCAGCCGCGGUAAU